CAGAAAAGAGAGUUACCAAUUGUCUUUUUGCAAAAAACUCAUAUCCGUCUUCCACAACCUGAUGAGCUCUACAUAUGAGAUCCAAAUCAUGUUUAUGGAGAAACUUAGCAACCACUUCAGCACCAAAAGUAAAGGACACUCCUCUGUCAUUUUCACCCCAUCCUAAGACAUCUUUGUCAGGGUCAGACCACAGGAGAUCACAAAGAAGACCCUGGUCAGGUACAUCAGUGGGGCGCAUAAUUCGUCUGAUCUGUUCCAUUGACUGAAGGUCUGGUGACAAACCUCCGUGACAGCAGAAUAUCUUCUCAUCCACAAUUGCUGCAAUUG
rnacentral:lncRNA from 1 species